GUACUACUCCCUCCGUUCCAAAUUACUCGUCGCAGAAAUGGAUGUAUCUAGAACUAAAAUACAUCUAGACACAUCCAUACCUGCGACAAGUAAAAAUACAUCUAGACACAUCCAUACCUGCGACAAGUAAUUCGAAACGGAGGGAGUAUCUU
rfam:Triticum urartu cultivar G1812 contig1223066, whole genome shotgun sequence.